AAAAGUGGUAUAAUAUGGUUUGGUAAAAGGGGUAAUUUGAAUAUCUAUAAAUGACAUAUUGUUUUGAUGUUAAGAUAUGAGAUACUAUGUUUAUCUUAUAGACUGGGUGAUGGAGAUGUUAUGAUUUAUUGAGUUAAAUUUGAUAACCGAAAGGUUAUUUUUUUAAAAUUGUUGGACAUUUGAGAUAUGAAUACAUAUGCCUAUUUAAUGUUUGCUUGUAGUUUCGUUUUAAAAAGGUCAAAUCAUUGAUUCAAUGAUGGUUAUAAAAUGUGUUAUAUAUAUAUAGGUAGUUAUAUGUUCGGCUAUGGUAUUUGACUAUUUAGGC
rnacentral:lncRNA from 1 species